GUGAUAUAUUGAGAGAGGAAGAGAUUUGGAGCAGACAGUAACUUUGGAGAGUUACCACAGUAACUUUAUUGUUACUGUGGUAACUAAAGAAGUUACCAUAGUAACCAGGGUAACUCGGAUGGCAAGGAGGAGUUACCUUAGGUUGUCUACACUUGAUCUGAGUAUGGGAAGGGAUAAGAGAGGAGACUUGGACAGGCUGUCACUGGCUGGAAAGGAGAAGAGUGCUUUAGCACUAUUAGAAGCAUGUGAGCAAUCUCAGCCAUGGGAUUUACAGCCUGGCCUUUGACUACACAUGCUUAUCUUAUCCCCUUAGGUUGAUUUCGAAAAUGCUUCUUCCUUUUGUAUAUAUCUGAUGUAAACUCUCUCAUAAUUAAUCUAAUGGAGUUUUGAGUCUCUCUCUCUUGAUUCUCUCACUAAAAUCUCUUAAUCUCUUUAAUCUUUGAAUCUAAGUAUCUCUGGUUGUUUGAAUCAUUCUCUAAAACACAAAAGUGUUUAUGGUAUCAGAGCCAGGUUCCAUGAAAAGGAGAGAGUGAUUUCGUUUUUCUUGAGUGUUCUUGAGAGUUCAUGAGAGUUUUCAAGAGCUAGAUCCUUUGAAAUUCAAGUUUGUGUCUGUUGGUGUUUCUUUUGGAGAGUCAGCUUCAAGGGAGUCCCUUUAGGCGUGUGACAAGGUCAGAAGAGGGGUCUAGCUGGUUGGUAAGCUUGGCGAUCUAACUGAUAGGAUGAGCUUGAAGAUGAUCAAGGAGGUGGCUCAACAAGUGGUAAGAGGAGAAUGUUCUUACUCUGCCUAUAUGAGUAACUCAGUGGAGGACAGUAUGGUUAUGAAGGGGCAAGAGAUCAAAGGAGCAGAUGAUCCUAUCACAAAGAAAGAAUGGGAUGAGUUUGUCAAGUAUGUGUAUGCUUUGGCUACGACCCGGAGACAAGGUGCUCCUGCCUUAGCAUCCACGUCCAAACCCAUCAUCAUUGAUUCUGGAGCAACACAUCAUAUGAUCAGUGAUAAAAGUCUGAUAAGUGGAGUCAAGGCUGCAACAGGGAGUGUUAUGAUAGCUAAUGGUGCUAGGAUCCCAAUAGAAGGCGUGGGAAACCUCAAGCUGUUUGAGAAGAGCUCACCUGCGUUCUAUUUGCCUCAGUUCACUUCAAAUCUGAUAUCAGUGAAGAAGGCCACAGUUGAUCUUGAUUGUCAAGUAGUAUUCAGGCCAAAUGAAGUUGAGUUUCAAGAUUUGAAGACUGGGAGAGUUAUUGGUAGAGGAGACAGCAAGAAUCAGUUAUAUCAUCUCCAAACAGCUAAGACCUCUAACCCUAUUGAUUCUGUAUGCUUGAGUAGUAAUGCUGAUAGGUGUGAGAGUACUACUUGGCAUGCUAGAUUAGGACAUCCUCAUGCUCGUGCAAUUGAAUUGAUUAUGCCUAAUAUGUCAUUCAAUCACUUGGAAUGUGAAGCUUGCAUCUUAGGGAAGCAUUGUAGAACUGUUUUUUCUACAUCAGAGACCAUAUAUGCAAAUUGCUUUGAUCUUGUUCAUUCUGAUGUGUGGACAGCCCCUUGUAUGUCUAGAGAAAACCAGAAGUACUUUGUGACAUUCAUAGAUGAGAAGUCUAAGUAUACAUGGAUCACAUUGCUGCCAUCUAAGGAUAGAGUGUUUGAGGCUUUUGUUAACUUCCAAGCAUAUGUAACUAACCAUUACAAUGCUACUGUGAAGGUACUACGGUCUGAUAAUGGAGGAGAAUACACCAGUCAUGCCUUCAAGAGUCACUUGGCUAAACAUGGGAUAGUGCAUCAAACCAGUUGUCCUUACACACCACAGCAGAAUGGGGUAGCUGAGAGGAAGAAUAGGCAUCUGAUGGAGGUGGCUAGAUCCAUGAUGUAUCAUGCUAAUGUUCCAAAGAGGUUUUGGGGUGAUGCUGUUCAGACUGCAUGCUAUCUUAUCAAUCGGAUUCCAACUAAGGUAUUGAAGAAUCUGUCUCCUUUUGAGGUGCUAAACAAGAGCAAGCCAUACAUAGAUCAUCUGCGUGUCUUUGGAUGUCUAUGUUAUGUCUGGGUUCCAGGAGAACAGAGAAACAAGUUGGAGGCAAAGAGCACUAAAGCAAUGCUCAUUGGGUACUCAGUAACUCAGAAGGGGUACAAGUGCUAUGAUCCAGCAACCAGGAGAGUGUUGGUGUCUAGAGAUGUUAAGUUCAUAGAGACCAAGGGGUAUUAUGAAGAAAAGAAUUGGGAAGAUUUGGAAGAUCUGUCUCAAGAACCAAGAAACAUGGCAGAGAAUCUGAGGAACAUAUUGGAAAGGCUUGGGGUAAACAUGUCCCAGGAUAAGGUUAGAGAACCUGAAAGAACAACUCCCCUUGAUCAUGAGGGGGGUAAUGAGUCUGAAUCAGGAGUGCAAGAGCAGCACCAAGGGGAUUCAGGUCAUCAUGAUCAAGUGGUGACACAAGAAGUAGAGAAUUUUCCUCAGGUCAGUGUGGAUGAGCAAGGAGAGGUUCAUGAUCAAGAGGAGGUGAGUGAGACAGAAACAGAGGUUCAAGCAGAGGUUCAAGCUGAGGAACAGGUUCAACCAUUAAGGAGGAGCACACGGAUAAAGAGGGAUGCUUCCAACUGGGUAAACACGAGAGUGUACUACAAUGCCCAGGCUGUGGAGCAUCCUUCUCAAGCUAUGUGUUCCUUUGCAGAGUUUCCGGACGAGCAUACAGCCUUCACAGUAAGCUUGGAUGAGAGCUAUAUUCCAAGGACAUAUGAAGAAGCUAUGGCUUUAAAGGAGUGGAGAGAUUCAGUUGCUGAUGAGUCCGGAGCCAUGAUUAAGAAUGAAACGUGGUAUGAGAGUGAACUGCCUAAAGGGAAGAAGGCAGUGACUAGUAAAUGGGUGUUCACAAUCAAGUUUCAUCCUGAUGGGAGAAUAGAGAGGCGCAAAUCUAGGUUGGUGGCAAGAGGAUUUACUCAGACAUAUGGUGAGGACUAUGUUGAGACCUUUGCUCCUGUGGCUAAACUUCAUACUAUCAGGAUUGUAUUAUCUUUAGCUGUGAAUCUUGAGUGGGAUUUGUGGCAAAUGGAUGUGAAGAAUGCAUUCCUUCAAGGAGAGUUUGAAGAUGAAGUAUACAUGCAUCCACCACCAGGUCUUGAACAUCUAGUAAAGAAGGGUAAUGUGUUGAGGUUGAGGAAAGCUAUCUAUGGUCUCAAGCAGUCUCCAAGGGCGUGGUACAACAAGUUGAGUACUACACUGAAUGGGAGAGGGUUCAGAAAGUCAGAAUUGGAUCACACUCUCUUUACCCUAACCACCUCAUCUGGUAUUGUGGUGUUGCUUGUGUAUGUGGAUGAUAUCAUCAUCACAGGCAGUGAUAAGGAAGGCAUCAAGGCUACAAAGGAGUAUCUCAAGGCAAGCUUUGAGAUUAAAGACUUGGGGGAAAUGAAGUAUUUUCUUGGGAUUGAGAUAUGCAGAUCAAAGGAAGGAUUGUUUAUGUCCCAAAGGAAGUAUGUGAUUGAUCUCUUGAAGGGAGCAGAUGCCUAUGGAGGAAAGACAGCCAAGAUGCCAAUGGAGGACGGUUACAAGGUUCCACGUGAGGGGGAGAUUGAGGAUAGCAAGCCGUUCCAUGAUCCUAAGCUAUAUAGGAAGCUGGUGGGGAAGUUGAUUUAUCUUACCAUUACUAGACCUGAUGUGUGUUUUGCGGUGAAUCAAGUCAGUCAACACAUGCAAGUUCCUAAGGAGCACCAUUGGCGGAUGGUGGAAAGGAUCUUGAUGUAUCUGAAUGGAACUACUGGUCUUGGAGUAUGGAUGGGAUGUAACAAGAGUACUGAGGUUGUAGGCUACUGUGAUGCAGAUUGGGCUGGAGACCGAGCAGACAGAAGAUCAACCACAGGCUAUUGUACAUUCAUUGGUGGUAACUUAGUCACUUGGAAGAGUAAGAAACAGAAGGUAGUGUCUUGCUCCAGUGCUGAGGCCGAGUAUAGAGCAAUGCUGAAGCUUACAAAUGAGCUAGUGUGGAUAAAAGGGAUUUUGAAGCAUCUAGAGAUUAUUCAAGCAACGCCAAUGACAAUGCAUUGUGAUAAUCAAGCAGCUAUCCACAUUGCAUCUAAUUCUGUGUUCCAUGAGAGAACAAAGCACAUUGAGGUUGAUUGUCACAAGGUGAGGCAGAUGAUGAUUCUUGGAGUGAUUCUACCUUGUUAUACUCGGAGUGAGGAUCAGUUAGCAGAUGUGUUCACAAAGGCAGCAAGGCAAAAGACAAUGGAGUCCAUACACAUCAGGUUAGGACUCAUUGAUCUCUCGCCUAAGGACUAGUCUAUACACUCUCCUGAUCAUGUGAUCUCUACUCUUUCCUCAUUAAGGUUUUGUCCCAAUGUGUUUUCCUUAAUGAGGUUUUAAUGAGGGAGAUCUCAUGGUUCUUCCAAGCUUGACUUGUUUCACAUGGUCAAGCUUGAGGGGGAGUGUUGAGAUAAGAGAAUAAAGUGUUGAGAUGAGGAGAUGAAGAGUUGAUACAUGGAUAGAGGAAGGGAUUUGGAGCAGGUAGUAACUUUGGAGAUUUACCACAGUAACUUUAAUGUUACUGUGGUAACUAAGUUAAAAGACUUGGGAAGUUACCCUGCAUCCAUUUGGAGAGUGUAACACGACAGGAGGAGUCUGGAUAAGCAAGGAGGAGUUUGGAUAAGGUCUGGUCAAGGGAAGAGAGCUUUAGACAGGCUGGCACCAGCUGGAAAGCUAAAGCAAGAUUCCCAAGCAUGUGAGGAACCUUAUUGGCUGGUUUGAAUAAGGCAUCUUUGACUACACAUGCUUCUUAUCCUAACUAGACUGAACCUGGACGAAAAUAUGAAUCUCUAAUCUAUAUAUGUUGUAAACUCUCUCAUUAAUCAAGUAAAUGGAGUUUUGAGUCUCUCUCUCUCUCUUGUUCUUAAUCUCCAAUCUCUUUAAUUCUCAGAUUAAACUUAAUCACUCUUUAAAUCACUAAAUCUAUUAAACUCCUAUGAGAUUUAUUCAACUUCCUGGUGAUUCUCUGUUGAGAUGAAGACCAAAGAGGCUGAGACAGUAACUUUACAGUUUUACUGUGGUAACUUUCUUUUAACCACAGUAACUACUUGGGGAAGUUAUCUGAUGGGAUGAGGAGGUAACUUAAUGAGGAGAAGAGAGGAAAUUCGACCUAAGAGGAUAAGGAAGGAUAAGGGAGCACUUUGACAGCCUGGAGGAAAUUCGACCUAAGAGGAUAAGGAAGGAUAAGGGAGCACUUUGACAGCCUGUAUGAUGCUGGAAAGGAGAGGAUGCUUUUUACUAGUGCAAGCAUGUGAGAAAGCACAGCCAAGUGAUUCAAAAGGAGUUCCAGCCUGUACAUUGACUCCACAUGCUUAUACAUUUCGAAAACCCUUGUUGCUCUCUCUAUUAAUACUUGUAAACCUCAUCAGUUAUUAAUCAAUGGAGUUUUGAGUCUAUCUCUCUCUAGAAUCUCUCUAUUCUCUCUAAACUUUACUCUAAUCUUCUCUAAUUAUUAUUAAACACACUCUAAAACACAAAAGUGUUUAUGGUAUCAAAGCCAGGUUGCUCAAAAGGGGAUGAGUGUGUGAUUUGUUUUUCGCAAAUUUAGGUUCUUUCUUGGUGUUCUUGAGUGUUCUUGGUGUUCUUGAGUGUUCUUGGUGAUUCUGGGUUGUGUUCUUCUGUCACUAGUCUCGUCUGGAUCAUUCUGAUGGAAACAAACAAUCUAGACAUGGAGAAGAAGCACAGAUCUAGUACAAUCAUGGAGCUUGAAGAAGAGAGAGAUGGCGAUUGGUCAAGAUGGGCAAAGAGAGCUUUGGAAAGCUGUGGGUUAUGGUGUGGUCAUGUAAAGGGGAAGCCUUUAGUGGAAAUGGCUACUGAAGAAGGUCAGACAAGGAAUCUGAAAGGUGAAGAUGAAGCUGAUCAAGAAACCACUUUGGAGAGUGGGAUUGAAGAAGCUUAUGUAGAAAGGUCCAAACUUGUGAAGGUCAGUGGAGACAAGAGAGUGAUCUGCGGCUUGAGACAAGGAAAGGAUGAGUUGUAUCAGCUUGUGGGAAGGCUGAAAGAAGGAUGGAUGGAGCUGGAUGUGCUGAGACCAAGCACAUCUGAUCCGAGAGUUAUUAAAGAAAGGAGGAAACAAGAUGUGUUCUUUAGCUUUCUUGUGAAGGAGAUAUGGUUUCUGGUUCUUCAUGCGUGUGAUGUGUGGGAAGAGGACAAGAGUUCAAACCAGUGGAAAGGUGGUACAAGCUGUAAGAAGGGAAGGCUGAGAAAGCUUUCUAGAGUGUGGCUUAAGAUGGGAAAGGCGUGGAAGAAGGACAGGGAGUCUGGGUAUCUAACUGAUAGGAUGAGCUUGAAGAUGAUCAAGGAGGUGGCUCAACAAGUGGUAAGAGGAGAGUGUUCUUACUCUGCCUAUAUGAGUAACUCAGUGGAGGACAGUAUGGUUAUGAAGGGGCAAGAGAUCAAAGGAGCAGAUGAUCCUAUCACAAAGAAAGAAUGGGAUGAGUUUGUCAAGUAUGUGUAUGCUUUGGCUACGACCCGGAGACAAGGUGCUCCUGCCUUAGCAUCCACGUCCAAACCCAUCAUCAUUGAUUCUGGAGCAACACAUCAUAUGAUCAGUGAUAAAAGUCUGAUAAGUGGAGUCAAGGCUGCAACAGGGAGUGUUAUGAUAGCUAAUGGUGCUAGGAUCCCAAUAGAAGGCGUGGGAAACCUCAAGCUGUUUGAGAAGAGCUCACCUGCGUUCUAUUUGCCUCAGUUCACUUCAAAUCUGAUAUCAGUGAAGAAGGCCACAGUUGAUCUUGAUUGUCAAGUAGUAUUCAGGCCAAAUGAAGUUGAGUUUCAAGAUUUGAAGACUGGGAGAGUUAUUGGUAGAGGAGACAGCAAGAAUCAGUUAUAUCAUCUCCAAACAGCUAAGACCUCUAACCCUAUUGAUUCUGUAUGCUUGAGUAGUAAUGCUGAUAGGUGUGAGAGUACUACUUGGCAUGCUAGAUUAGGACAUCCUCAUGCUCGUGCAAUUGAAUUGAUUAUGCCUAAUAUGUCAUUCAAUCACUUGGAAUGUGAAGCUUGCAUCUUAGGGAAGCAUUGUAGAACUGUUUUUCCUACAUCAGAGACCAUAUAUGCAAAUUGCUUUGAUCUUGUUCAUUCUGAUGUGUGGACAGCCCCUUGUAUGUCUAGAGAAAACCAGAAGUACUUUGUGACAUUCAUAGAUGAGAAGUCUAAGUAUACAUGGAUCACAUUGCUGCCAUCUAAGGAUAGAGUGUUUGAGGCUUUUGUCAACUUCCAAGCAUAUGUAACUAACCAUUACAAUGCUACUGUGAAGGUACUACGGUCUGAUAAUGGAGGAGAAUACACCAGUCAUGCCUUCAAGAGUCACUUGGCUAAACAUGGGAUAGUGCAUCAAACCAGUUGUCCUUACACACCACAGCAGAAUGGGGUGGCUGAGAGGAAGAAUAGGCAUCUGAUGGAGGUGGCUAGAUCCAUGAUGUAUCAUGCUAAUGUUCCAAAGAGGUUUUGGGGUGAUGCUGUUCAGACUGCAUGCUAUCUUAUCAAUCGGAUUCCAACUAAGGUAUUGAAGAAUCUGUCUCCUUUUGAGGUGCUGAACAAGAGCAAGCCAUACAUAGAUCAUCUGCGUGUCUUUGGAUGUCUAUGUUAUGUCUGGGUUCCAGGAGAACAGAGAAACAAGUUGGAGGCAAAGAGCACUAAAGCAAUGCUCAUUGGAUACUCAGUAACUCAGAAGGGGACAAGUGCUAUGAUCCAGCAACCAGGAGAGUGCUGGUGUCUAGAGAUGUUAAGUUCAUAGAGACAAAGGGGUAUUAUGAAGAAAAGAAAUGGGAAGACUUGGAAGAUCUGUCUCAAGAACCAAGAAACAUGGCAGAGAAUCUGAGGAACAUCUUGGAAAGGCUUGGGGUAAACAUGUCCCAAGAUAAGGUUAGAGAAGUUGAAAGAACAACUCCCCUUGAUCAUGAGGGGGGAAUGGAGUCUGAAUCAAGAGUGCAAGAGCAGCACCAAGAGGAUUCAGGUCAUCAUGAUCAAGAGGUGACACAAGAAGUAGAGAAUGUUCCUCAGGUCGGUGUGAAUGAGCAGGGAGAGGUUCAUGAUCCAGAGGAGGUGAGUGAGACAGUAACAGACGUUCAAGCAGAGGUUCAAGCUGAGGAUCAGGUUCAGGUUUUGCGAAGGAGCACAAGGAUAAAGAGGGAUGCUUCCAACUGGGUAAACACGAGAGUGUACUACAAUGCCCAGGCUGUGGAGCAUCUUUCUCAAGCCGUAUGUUCCUUUGCAGAAUAUCCAGAAGAGCACAUGGUGUUUAUGUGUAACUUGGAUGAGAAUGAGAUACCAAGAUCUUAUGAAGAAGCUAUGAAGCACAAGGUUUGGAGAGAUUCAGUAGGAGAUGAAAGGGAUGCAAUGAUCAGGAAUGAUACUUGGUAUGAGAGUGAGUUACCUAAAGGGAAGAAGGCAGUUUCAAGCAGAUGGAUCUUCACCAUCAAGUAUCUUGCAAAUGGGGAGAUAGAUAGGCGCAAGACUAGGCUAGUUGCAGGAGGAUUUACACAGACUUAUGGGGAAGAUUACAUUGAUACUUUUGCACCAGUGGCCAAGCUUCACACAAUUCGAAUUGUGUUAUCCAUUGCAACAAACUUGGAGUGGGAUUUGUGGCAAAUGGAUGUGAAGAAUGCUUUCUUGCAAGGUGAACUUGAAGAUGAAGUAUACAUGCAUCCACCUCCUGGUCUUGAGCAUCUAGUAAAGCCAGGGAAUGUUUUGAGAUUGAAAAAAGCAAUAUAUGGGUUGAAGCAGUCACCUAGAGCUUGGUACAGGAAGCUGAGUACAACACUCAAUGGGAGAGGCUUUAGGAAGUCUGAACUAGAUCACACUCUCUUCACCUUGACAGGACCUUCAGGGAGCAUUGUGAUUCUAGUAUAUGUGGAUGAUUUGAUUAUAAUAGGAAGUGCUAAGGCAGGGAUUCAGGCCACUAAGGAGUUUCUCAAAUCUGUGUUUGACAUCAAGGAUUUGGGAGAGAUGAAGUAUUUUCUGGGCAUUGAGAUAUGCAGAUCAAAGGAGGGUUUGUUUAUGUCUCAAAGGAAGUAUACUAUGGAUAUGUUGAAGGAGACUGAUGUGCUUGGAGGAAAGAUAGCCAAGACACCUCUCGAGGAGGGAUAUAAGGUUCUGCGUGAGGGGGAGGUUGAAGAGAAGCAGCUGUUUGAGGAUCCUAGGCUAUACAGGAAGAUGGUUGGCAAGCUGAUCUACUUGACCAUCACUAGGCCAGAUAUAUGCUUUGCGGUGAAUCAAGUGAGUCAACAUAUGCAGGCGCCAAAGGUCCAUCAUUGGAAGAUGGUUGAUAGGAUACUGAGGUAUUUGAGUGGCACGUCUGGUCAAGGAGUUUGGAUGGGUUGUAAUGGCAGUACAGAAGUGGUUGGAUAUUGUGAUGCUGAUUGGGCAGGAGAUAGAGUGGACAGGAGAUCAACUACUGGGUAUUGUACAUUCAUUGGAGGGAACUUGGUCACUUGGAAGAGUAAGAAGCAGAAGGUUAUCUCCUGUUCAAGUGCUGAAGCUGAGUAUAGAGCCAUGUUGAAGCUGACAAACGAGUUGGUGUGGAUCAAGGGGAUCUUGAAGCAUUUGGAGAUUGAGCAGAGUACUCCUAUGACAAUGCAUUGUGACAAUCAAGCAGCUAUCCACAUUGCUUCUAACUCAGUCUUUCAUGAGAGGACGAAGCAUAUAGAAGUUGAUUGCCACAAGGUGAGGCAGAUGAUUAUACUUGGAGUGAUAUUGCCAUGUUAUACAAGAAGUGAAGAUCAGCUUGCAGAUGUGUUUACUAAAGCAGCGAGAUUAAAGACAAUGGAGUCCAUACUAUCAAGACUUGGACUCAUUGAUCUUACUCCUAGGAGCUGAGCCCCUCAACCAUGGAGUCUCCACUCUUUUUCCCUCAUCAAAGUUUUAUCCCAUUGGGUUUUCUUUGAUGAGGUUUUUAAUGAGGGAGGUCUUCAUGGUUUCCAAGCUUGACUUGUUCUACAUGGUCAAGCUUGAGGGGGAGUGUUGAGAUGAAGACCAAAGAGGCUGAGACAGUAACUUUAGAGUUUUACUGUGGUAACUUUCUUUUAACCACAGUAACUACUUGGGGAAGUUAUCUUAUGGGAUGAGGAGGUAACUUAAUGAGGAGAAGAUAGUAAAUUCGACCUAAGAGGAUAAGGAAGGAUAAGGGAGCACUUUGACAGCCUGUAUGAUGCUGGAAAGGAGAGGAUGCUUUUUACUAGUGCAAGCAUGUGAGAAAGCACAGCCAAGUGAUUCAAAAGGAGUUCCAGCCUGUCCAUUGACUCCACAUGCUUAUACAUUUCGAAAACCCUUGUUGCUCUCUCUAUUAAUACUUGUAAACCUCAUCAGUUAUUAAUCAAUGGAGCUUUGAGUCUAUCUCUCUCUAGAAUCUCUCUAUUCUCUCUAAACUUUACUCUAAUCUUCUCUAAUUAUUAUUAAACACACUCUAAAACACAAAAGUGUUUAUGGUAUCAAAGCCAGGUUGCUCAAAAGGGGAUGAGUGUGUGAUUUGUUUUUCGCAAAUUUAGGUUCUUUCUUGGUGUUCUUGAGUGUUCUUGGUGUUCUUGAGUGUUCUUGGUGUU
rnacentral:lncRNA from 1 species